UUGAGUCAAUCACUACAAAGGUGGUUGUUUGGAUUCCUGGGCUGGUUGCUUCAUGUUGUGGGUCAGAGUUCUUUUAUUUUGUGUGUUUUUGAUUGUCGGCUUGUAGGAUUUUAGUUGCCUGACCCGGGAGGGAUUGAAUCCAGGACCCCAACAGUGAGAGUGCCAAGUCCUAACUGGACUGCCAGGAAAUUCCCCAGCAUUCUAUUUUCAUAUAUAUAAUCUGGCCAUUGUCCACUUAUUUCAGUAUCUCAUGAUGAUACUUGUAUGUAUCUACCUCCUUUACUUUAAAAAAAAAUAGAAACUGCUUGAAUUCAUCUUAGUUAAGGGCAUAAUGUGCACAGAAACAUGUUCUGCUUUUGGAAGGUGUUUUAGCAUAAGAGACACAGAAAUAAGUAUAUGCAUCAGGCUGGGGGUUCCAGGAGAUGUGAUCAGAAGAAGCCAUCUUCCUGGAGAAUAGUGGGAAAUGCCAGAUCCUCCACGUUCAUCAGGCUUUGAAAUCUGCUGGGAGAUUAAAGUCAGCACAGCGUCUUUGGAAUCACUUUGCCAAAUGUUGUUUUCUUUGACAGCAGGGCCACUUCUAAGGCUUGGAUUUGAGGGCUGGUGAAAUGGGAAGUGGAUCGUCUGCUCAUAUAGCUGCAACUAAUACCCAGACUGUUCCAUGUUCCCAUGGGAUUCCAAGUGCCACAGGGCUCCCUAAUAUACAGUGGAGACACAGAACGGAUGUCUCCACUAAAAGAAUGCUUGGGUAUCACCUAACCUGCUUUCUACCACCUCCCUGUAGAAUUCUUUAAAAAAAAUUUUAAAAAAAGAUUUAGAAAAUGUAUUGGUUUUCUGUGGCAGCUGUAACAAAUUAUCACAAACUUAGUGGUUUAAGCAACACAAUUGAAUUUGUUCACAGUUCUGGAGGUCAGAAGUCUGGGUGGGCUUGGUGAGGUUUUUUUCUCAGGGUAUCACAGGGCCAGAAAGCAAGCAUUGGCUAGCUGGAGCUCGUCUCUGCGACCUCUGGGAAGAAUCUGCUUCCAAAGUCUUUCAAGUUAUUGGCAGAAUUCAGUUCUUCGCAGCUGUAGGUCUGAGGUUCCGGUUUCCUUCCUGGCUGCUAGCCAGGGGCCACCCUGGGUUCCUUCUCAAAUGGCCCUCUAUCUCCAGCUCAGCAAGAGCAUGUGGAGCCUUUUCACACUCCAGUCUCUCCGACUUCCCCUUCUGGGCUCUAAAGGACCCAUGUGACUGGAUCAGGUCCACCCAGAUAAUCUCCUUAUGUUAAGGCCAAUUGGCUUGGAGCUUUAGUUAUAUUUGAAGAAUUCCUUCACAGAAAUCUGAAGAUUAGUGUUUAAUUGAAUGAAUAACCAGGGGACAGGAAUCUCAGAGAGGCCAUCUUAAGAUUUGCUUACUACAUGUUUUAUAUUACAAAGAAAUUCCGAGCAGAGAUAGACUCUUAAACCAGUUCUAGGUAAUGUGUAAUUAUUACGUGAAGGUAGAGAAAAAAGAUGAACAUUUUUCUAACCAUCUAUAUAUUCAUUGUUUAAAAGAAAAUUCCUGAAGGUAUAGGGACUUCGUUCUCAUUUGCAAAAAAAAAAAAAAAAAAAAUCCAGGGCAGAUAUUCUGAUUGGUGGGUGGCCUCCCUCUCCCCAGUGAUUCAGAGACCCCCAGGUUCCAUCUGUGUUGUAGCUCCCCACUUCCCUAGGGCCACUGCCUGCAUCCAGUUGGUGCAAGAUGAAAGAACAGGAAGGACAUGCAUCUCCUCUUCAAGCCUCUGUCUAGCGGAAUCACACAUUACUUACAAUCAUUCGCUUGGUGUCAACUAGUCACAUGACUGUGCCAAACUGUCAGGAUGCUUGAAAUAUAGUCUAGCUGUGUAUUAAUGAAGAAGAAGAAAUGGAUUGGUGAAUAGUAGUACUCUCUGCUUCAACCUACUGUGUGCUGGCGCCUUACAUAAUUCUCAUUUAAUUAACACCACAGCUCUGAGAGAGAUAUUGGUCUGCUCCACAGAACUGGGAACUGAGAGCCAGAAAUAGAAUUUCCCCACGGUUCCACAGCUGUUGUGUGAAGGACCUAAGCUAGGAUCUGUAUCCUCUUUGACUCCCAAGCUCUGUUUCCAGUUGACAUAUUCGUUCUUCUAUAGAGUGUUUGGAGAUUAAGGUCUUGUUUAGGGAUGGGUUGGUUGAAUUAUAAUUUGAUUAUCAUGACUGGUUUUCUCCAAGUGAAUCAGAGUUACCUAAGUGGGUUGUUUGAAAUCAUUAGUUUCUAAUCCCACCCACUAAAGUUUCAUUCAGCCAGUCUGGGAGUGGGAGGGGAAGCACAAAUCUGCAUAAAGUGAGCUUCUUGGGUUAUUCAGAUGUGUUGAAAUGUUUGUAAUAUGCCAGUGCAGCCAGCCCUUCUGGGAUAGGGAACAUGAGGAGGUGAAUUCCCGCUUGUGGUCUGGUAAAGUGCCCCUUGCUGGGAUUUGCGGUUCUGAUCUGUUUAUGAAAUUCUGGGGCCUCUCCAGAGUAGCUUUCCCUGCCCCACUCCAAGGAAUGAGGUCACUGGGAGGGAUUUUUUUUUUAAUGGUAACAACGUGACUGAGUGAGGUCAAUUGCAUGCCUGUCUAAUUAUCCUAUUCUCUGCCCAAAGCCCACCCAUCUGAGCCCUGCAAUGCUCAAGUUGGGGUCACUGUUGGAUUCCUCUAACAGCCUCCUUCAGAUGCGUAGAACUUGAACUCAGCUUCCUAUCAUCUGUGAAAUCUCGUGUCAUUGGUGGUGUUUCUUGCCUGCGUAGCUUGUUGAGCUGAUUUCUCACCCUGUCUUCGCUGAGGAUGAAAUGCUUGUAGGCUUGUGCUAGAAGGGCCUGAGAAGGAAGAAAAGCAAGAUGCUGCCUACUGUUGGGAGCUUGCAGCCUAGUAAUGGUAGGGUAAACCUACCAUUAAUGAGAGAAGUACUAUUUACAGAAGGAGUUUACAUAUUAGCUUAUUUACUUCUCACAAACAACCCUGAGGAACGGGCAAAAACCGAGGCUCAAAGAUGUUAAGUAAAUUAGUGACGAUGACUCAACUAACUAGUGGUGGUGAAGCUAGUAUUUGAAUCCAGGUCAGUUUGAUUCUACAGCUCAUGUACUUAAGUUACUUUGAUUGAGGGAAGAGGUCCAUACCCUAAUCCCCCAGAACCUGUGAAUGUGACCUCUGAAGUAAUGAAGGUACAGAUCUUGAGAUGACGAGAUCAUCCUGGACCAUCCAGAUGGGUAACACGUGUCCUUAUGAGGGAUACACAGAGGAGAAACACAUACAGAAGAGAUGUGACAACUAGGCAGAGAUCGAAGGGUGAUACAGCUAUAAGCAAAGGAAUGCUAACAGUCACCAGAAGCUGGAAGAUGUAAGGAAUGUUUUGUCCCCUUGAGUGUGGAGGGCCCUACAACACCUUGAUUUCAGGUUUCUGUACUCCAAAACUACAAGAAAACAAAUUUCUGUGUUCUAAGCCACUGGUUUGUGGCUGGCUUUUGUUUUCAACAGCAGUCACAGGAAACUAAUACACUCUAUUUAAUUUCGUCAAAAUCCUCAGGGAACAUAUAAUUCAAGGAUGAAUUAUGUUGUGUGCUGGAGGAUUAAAAAAUGUUUGAAAAUCAGAGCAAGAGACCCCUGAAAUUGGGGGUCAGUUGGCCCUGUGUAAUUAUCUGUUAGUACCUCUCCCUGCGUCAGGCUUCCAUCAUCAUCGCCUUCAUCAUUUCUGUACUGCUGACUGCCUAAUAUGUGCCGGGCACCAGACUAAGUGCUUUUCCCGCAUCACCUCCAUUAAAACGCCUGUCAGUUCUAUGAGGUAGGUACUAGUGUUAGCCUGUUUUUCAGAUGAGAAGCCUGAGGCUCGGAAAGGUAAUUUCCCACCUGUGGUUGUACACAGAAUAAGUGCCCGUGGGAGGCAGGAACUCUGGUCUGUCUUGCUCCUGAGUCUCGGCUUAAGCAGUUUCCUGCACCAUCUUCCCUUUUAGUAAAUUCUUACACAUGCUUAGUCAUUGUGAUUACGGGCUCCACCAUUUUGGGAGGCCGGGGCCAGAAGGGUGGGCUGACCGUGGUCUCUGCGAGCCCAAGUCCUCUAGGCUAUGGCGUGCCUCUCCAGGCCACGGCAGGCGUGACUCCGCAGAUGUUUGUUAAUGAUGGGACAGGAUGACAGCUGAACUCGGGCUGCGUCACAGCCGUUGGAGACGCAUAUGACAUCCUCUUGGAGAAGCUGUCAAUGUUAUGGAUUAAGACCCAGGUAAACUAUCUGCAGUGCAAGAGAGAAUGGAAAAUCCUUGGCCCUGAUUCUGACAGAAAGCCUGGUUUUAGAAUUUGAGAAGGUGAUUGGAUCUCGUUUGCUUUUCUCCAAGUAGGGAAGAGACAAGACAGAGUGCCAAGCUGAGGGGCUAAAGUACCUCAGAUAUACAGAUGACACCACCCUUAUGGCAGAAAGUGAAGAAGCACUAAAAACCCUCUUGAUGAAAGUAAAAGAGGAGAGUGAAAAAGUUGACUUAAAGCUCAACAUUCAGAAAACUAAGAUCAUGGCAUCUGGUCCCAUCACUUCAUGGCAAAUAGAUAGGAAAACAGUGGAAGCAGUGUCAGACUUUAUUUUUUGGGGGGCUCCAAAAUCACUGCAGAUGGUGAUUGCAGCCAUGAAAUUAAAAGACGCUUCUCCUUGGAAGGAAAGUUAUGACCAACCUAGACAGCACAUUAAAAAGCAGAGACAUUACUUUGCCAACAAAGGUCCGCCUAGUCAAGGCUAUGGUUUUUCCAGUGGUCAUGUAUGGAUGUGAGAGUUGGACUGUGAAGAUAGCUGAGCGCCAAAAAAUUGAUGCUUUUGAACUGUGGUGUUGGAGAAGACUCUUGAGAAUCCCUUGGACUGCAAGGAGAUCCAACCAGUCCAUCCUAAAGGAGAUUAGUCCUGGGUGUUCAUUGGAAGGACUGAUGCUGAAGCUGAAACUCCAAUACUUUAGCCACCUCAUGCAAAGAGUUGACGCAUUGGAAAAGACCCUGAUGCUGGGAGGGAUUGGGGGCAGGAGGAGAAGGGGACGACAGAGGAUGAGAUGGCUGGAUGGCAUCACCGACUCAAUGGACAUGAGUUUGAGUAAACUCCGGGAGUUGGUGAUGGACAGGGAGGCCUGGGGUGCUGUGGUUCAUGGGGUCUCAAAGAGUCGGACACGACUGAGCGACUGAACUGAACUGAACUGAUCCCUUCCAGUGUGGAAUUAACUUUGUGAAUAGUCUGUGAAGCAGCCCAAUCAAAAAGAUUUCCUUCAUUUAUAGGGUUUUCUUUAUUUGUCAGCAGAGGGUAGGAACCCCACUGAAGGUUUAUUAAAGAGCCAUAGACGAGUUCUAGAUGGCCCUACUUGCAGAGGCUAAGUGCACUUGACUUCUAUAUUUUUUUUUUGUAAUACUCUUUCCUAGUCUUCAGAGAUUCAAGUGGGAUUGAAAUUAUAUUUACCAAGUUUAAGCAUACUGAUACCUUGAAAGAAGUAAAUAUAAGACAACAAAAAUAUAUAGACUUUUAUACAGUAAACUUAGACUCAGGGAAGUUGCAUUUAUUCAACAAAUUUUUUUUCCGACAAAAUUUUGUCACACCCCUACUCUUUAUCAAAUUCUAGGAAUAUGGAAAAGAAUGAGUUUGACUUCAACUUGCUCCAUCUGUUUGGGGAAACCAUUGUGCAGCUGUUGAAAAUCAUACUUUCUGAUGAGAUUAUGUAAUGAUUUCUCCAAAGUGGAGAAAAGUUAAUAAAAGAAUGACAGUAAUAAAAAUGAGGAAGCUAGAAAGUAGCUGGAUUUACUACAUGAUAUGCUAUAGCCAAUAUUAUUUUGAACUAAAUUCCAAGAGAACAGUGCAAUAACAAAAGUGGUACGAAAUGUCUAUGAAAAUACUGUGGAAUAAGCCCAGGAAGGAUGGACAGUGCUCCAGUGGGUCCUUCUCUAAGUAAAAACAGAGCAAAGACAUGAAAUUGUCAAAGUGAGAUGGGCAGCCUUCAUCAAGUAAUAGUCAAUAGAAAGUUAAAAAUCAGUCUUAGCGAUUUAUUCAGUGCCACCUCUUGUCAUCUUCCCCCCCUCC